UACGGAGGGAGCUAGCGUUGUUCGGAAUUACUGGGCGUAAAGCGCACGUAGGCGGCGACUCAAGUCCGAGGUGAAAGCCCGGGGCUCAACCCCGGAACUGCCUUUGAAACUAGGUUGCUAGAAUCCUGGAGAGGUGAGUGGAAUUCCGAGUGUAGAGGUGAAAUUCGUAGAUAUUCGGAAGAACACCAGUGGCGAAGGCGACUCACUGGACAGGUAUUGACGCUGAGGUGCGAAAGCGUGGGGAGCAAACAGG
rnacentral:rRNA from 1 species